CAGCAGCCGCGGUAAUACGUAGGUCCCGAGCGUUGUCCGGAUUUAUUGGGCGUAAAGCGAGCGCAGGCGGUUUGAUAAGUCUGGAGUUAAAGGCUGUGGCUCAACCAUAGUUCGCUUUGGAAACUGUCAAACUUGAGUGCAGAAGGGGAGAGUGGAAUUCCAUGUGUAGCGGUGAAAUGCGUAGAUAUAUGGAGGAACACCGGUGGCGAAAGCGGCUCUCUGGCCUGUAACUGACGCUGAGGCUCGAAAGCGUGGGGAGCGAACAGGAUUAGAUACCCCAGUAGUCCCUGUCUCUUAUACA
rnacentral:rRNA from 1 species